rnacentral:rRNA from 1 species
UCAGUAACACGUAGUCAACAUGCCCAGGGACGUGGAUAACCUCGGGAAACUGAGGAUAAACCGCGAUAGGUCACUACUUCUGGAAUGGGUAAUGACCCAAACCUAUAUGGCCCCUGGAUUGGACUGCGGCCGAUCAGGCUGUUGGUGAGGUAAUGGCCCACCAAACCUGUAACCGGUACGGGCUCUGAGAGGAGGAGCCCGGAGAUGGGCACUGAGACAAGGGCCCAGGCCCUAUGGGGCGCAGCAGGCGCGAAACCUCUGCAAUAGGCGAAAGCUUGACAGGGGUUACUCUGAGUGAUUUCCGUUAAGGAGAUCUUUUGGGCACCUCUAAAAAAUGGUGCAAAUAAGGGGUGGGCAAAGUUCUGGUGCCAGCC